UAUGUGCCCAAAGAAACUCCGGAUCCUU
rnacentral:piRNA from 1 species